CCUACGGGCGGUAGCAGUGAGGAAUAUUGGUCAAUGGACGCAAGUCUGAACCAGCCAUGCCGCGUGCAGGAAGACGGCUCUAUGAGUUGUAAACUGCUUUUGUACGAGGGUAAACGCAGAUACGCGUAUCUGUCUGAAAGUAUCGUACGAAUAAGGAUCGGCUAACUCCGUGCCAGCAGCCGCGGUAAUACGGAGGAUUCAAGCGUUAUCCGGAUUUAGUGGGGUUAAAGGGUGCGUAGGCGGUCGGAUAAGGUAGAGGUGAAAUGCCGAGGCUCAACUUCGGAAUUGCCUCUGAUACUGUUCGGCUAGAGAGUAGUUGCGGUAGGCGGAAUGUAUGGUGUAGCGGUGAAAUGCUUAGAGAUCAUACAGAACACCGAGUGCGAAGGCAGCUUACCAAGCUACUUCUGACGUUGAGGCACGAAAGCGUGGGGAGCAAACAGGAUUAGAUACCCCUGUAGUC
rnacentral:rRNA from 1 species